rnacentral:sRNA from 1 species
ACACUGAAAGGAGGUGAUCCUAGGUUGAGUACGACCAGGACGCGUGAGGUGGCUGCGCGCUAGCGCUGCCCCGUCCGGCGGCGGGUAGCUCCCGUCCAAGGACACUCCAACACUGGCGCGCAAGCGCAAUUCAGAGCAGUCACCCGGCCCGCAGGCUCAUCGGAUCGUCCCCGAUGCCCCGGCCCCUGGACGCAGGGACCGAGGGAGCAAGCCUGCGGGCCGCUUUUU